rnacentral:rRNA from 1 species
AACAAACGCCGGCGGCGUGCCUAAUACAUGCAGUCGAACGGGGAAAGCUUUCGGGUGAGUACUAGUGGCGCACGGGUGAGGAACGCGUGGAUAAUCUGCCUUAGAGUGGGGGAUAACUAGUCGAAAGAUUAGCUAAUACCGCACAAGACCACAGGAGCUGCGGCGCGAGGGGGCAAAGGUUUUUCGCUCUAAGAUGAGUCCGCGUAAGAUUAGCUAGUUGGGGAGGUAACGGCUCACCAAGGCGACGAUCUUUAACUGGUCUGGGAGGAUGAUCAGUCACACUGGAACUGAGACACGGUCCAGACUCCUACGGGAGGCAGCAGUAGGGAAUAUUGCACAAUGGAGGAAACUCUGAUGCAGCGACGCCGCGUGAGUGAUGAAGGCCUUCGGGUCGUAAAGCUCUGUCGCAGGGGAAUAACACAAUGAAUGUACCCUGUAAGAAAGGAUCGGCUAACUUCGUGCCAGCAGCCGCCGUAACAC